GAUGAAGAACGCAGCGAAAUGCGAUACUUGGUGUGAAUUGCAGAAUUCCGUGAAUCAUCGAGUCUUUGAACGCACAUUGCGCCCCCUGGUAUUCCGGGGGGCAUGCCUGUCCGAGCGUCAUUACAACCCUCAAGCCCGGCUUGUGUAAUGGGCGGCCGUCUCUCCCCCCGGGGGGAGACGCCCCCGAAACUCAGUGGGGAUGUCGCGAUACCGAAGCCUCAGCUAAUGGGUAAACCACAGCUGCAAUGGCCGCGGCCGGCGUCCGCCUUCCACGGUCCGUCCGCCUAGCGCGGGCGGCCUUCUCAAGGUUGACCUCGGAUCAGGUAGGGAUACCCGCUGAACUUAAGCAUAUCAAUAAGCGGAGGA
rnacentral:misc_RNA from 1 species